CCUCUCCCAUAACCCUAACCCUAGCCCUUCUUCUACGCCUCUACCGUCCUUAUCGACGCCACCCCUCCCCUCUACCUCCUCCCCGCCUGCCGGUUGCGCUGCUGCUUUCCCGUCGAGCUCGUGCGUCAGAUUUGGAAGGACGGGUCGCUCCCAUCGUCCAUGUAGUUGCGUCCUCCGCCUGGGAGGCCCUGGACAGAGGGAGCCAUCUCCGUUGCCUCCCCUACUAUCGAUGCCGCUGUCUCCUGCUCCUCCUCUGUCCAUGCGUCCCCAAGAAGCAAGAUUUGGUGCAAUCAAGUCAAAGAUUCUACAUCAGAUGGUUAUGUUUUUCGUUUCUGUUUUUGAUUUGUUCAGUGUGCAUAAAACAUAAAACAAGAUUUCCAGCUAAUAUUGAUAUAUGUUCCUUUACUUAUCCUAUAUGUUGGUUUUAGUUGCUUCUUUUCUGGUUACUAAUCUAGCUAUUACCACAUGUCUGUUUGUUUUGCACUAAUCCUAUGUGUCUAAUCUCGCCAUUGACUGAAUAAGCCCAUGUUUUGGAUUUGUACUAAUAAUUCUGUCUAAGCCACCACCACGGGAUUGAACUCAUGAGGCUGUGAGGAUCUUGCGAUUUACUGUUUUCUUUAAGAGUGAUUCCUUUCUUAGUUUUUCUUUUAACCUUUCUUAUUAUCACUUUUGUUUCAUGGCUGUAGCACAUAAUGGCAAGUGACUGCAAUUCUGAAAGAUAGUACGAGGGGAUUCUUUGUCACCAUCUUAUUAUUGUGGUAUGUAAGCCAAUUCUUGCACUCAAACCAUGAAAAAUUGUUUCUUUCAGUUGUUUGCUUCGGCUCAUGAAGACAUACUAAUUCUUCCUCUAUGUAGAGAGUGAUUAGACUCUGAGAUAAGAUCGUACUCCAUGCCCAUUUUUGGACCAGCUGGGUUUUCUGAACUGUCUACUGUUUUUGAGCCCAUCACAUGUAUGCAUUGCACGGAACAAAAAUGAGGUUGGUAAUGUUUCCGGUACAUUUAUUGAACUUUGGCUAUACAUAUGUGUUCAGCCAGUGAGUAUAAUGGUGAAGUCAUGACAUCUGAACUUUGGUUAUCGGAAUUAUAAUAGAUUUGUUACUGUCCCAUUUCAGUUUUCUUCUAUUAGAAUAAAGCUAUGCCUAAAUUGAGAGUUGUUCACCUUCGCGACAAUGGAUUUAGCUACUUGUUAAAUACUUUACUUUGGUGUAAGCAUACUGAUGAUUAAUGGCCUCUAUCAACUAUAAAGCAGAGGUCUGCAUGGCAUAGUUAUUUUAUUUAUAGUAUUGUAGACAAAAUGCACUAAUUCACUUUAUUACACUAUUUGUUACUUUCUCUUUAUUAUAUCAUCUCUCACACCUUUCUACAUAUUUUUCAGUGGCGUACAUGUUAAAUCUGUCAUGAUCUUACACUGUAUAUUCUUAUUUUAGCGCUAGAGAUGCUGUAUGGAGCUGAUAUUCCUCUCAAACUUCUUUUCUUCAUCAUAUGUAGUCCCAAGAAUCUGGGUUCUAACUCCAUCCUCCUCAGUAGAUGCUUAUUAAUUUCCUUAUGUGAUCGUAACAUGUGUAAAGCUAUUAAGACAACAUUAUUAAUGCACUGUUCUUAAGUACUUCCCUACCAAUAUUAAGCUGGCAGUUUCAUCUUUUCGCUUUACCUUUGGCCUCAUAGGUGUAAACUUGAUCAAUAAAAGCUGUGAGUGUAGUAAUAUAAUUUUAAAUUUGUGAGAUUGUUUUUUACUAGCAAAUGGUAUGUUAUCCUUUCCAGGUAAAUUGCAAUCUGUAUAAAUCAUCAUGUACAAAUAAUAACUAAAGUAUAUACCAGAUUUAACAAUAUUCAUAGGAUCUAGAGAUGAAUUUGUUCUCUUUACGAACUAGUACAUAAAUAUUCCCUAGAAAGGAUAAAUAAAUAUUCCUCAAUCAAUCCAUGUCUUUUGUACCAAAAGAAACCAAAUUACAAUGCCUAUCCAAUGUAAAAUGAAUGUAAGCAUUACGCAAGUGCCUUCGUAAGGCAUUCAAAAAUUAUAUUUGGUCCUUGCACCAAGCUGGUUUGGUUGAAAUUUGUGAGACACAUAUUAUUUUCAGUCAAAAUAUAAUCUGCUGAUAAUCCAAUGGCUUUGUUAGUUUCGAUGCACAUAUCAUUUUUAUUUUCUUUUGUGCAGGCAAAACUUAUCUUGGAUUCUUGGUCUUAAAUGGGCGCUCUUACUUUUGUGUACUUAUUAAUUAUGAUUGCUUUGUGAAUUUUCUUGUCCUUUCGAUUUUUUUUUGUUUUCUCGAUUCCUUUUAGUGAAGUGCAUGGCUUGCACUUUCUGCACCUAAUGAGAAAAGCUUGGUGAAAGUACACAGUGAAUGGAUUUUAGCGCUAACAACUCAGACCCAAUUAUCGAGGAGCUAAGCGGUCCAGCACAGAAAUAACGUUCAGCAACUUUGGAAAAUGAUAUUGAAGAUUAUGAUCGCAAGGUAUUUCAGCAGUAUAUGGAUCAUAAUCUUCAAUAUCAUUUUGCAAAGUUUCUGGAUGUUCUUCCUGUGCUGGACUUGUUGGCUCCUCGAUAAUUGGCUCUGAGUUGUUAGUGUUAAAAUCCUUUUCUUGUGUACUUUCCCCAAGCCACAAAUCAGAUAGUAGAAUUCAGAGUGGGCAUGCUACCACUCACUUCAUCAAAAGGAAUCGGGAAAACAGAAGAAAAUUCAGAAGAACAAGAAUUUCACAAAUCAAUAAGUACACAAAAAUAGGAGUUCCAAGUUAAGACCAAGAAUCCAAGAUAAGUUUUAGCUGCACAAAAGAAAGAAAAAUGAUGUUUAUUGGAACUAAUAAAACCAGCUAAUUAGCAAUAAGUUGUAUUCUAAGUGAAACUAAUGUGUCUCACAAAUCUCAAUCAACAUAAGGCAGUUUGGUGCAAGGGUCGAAUAUAAGUUGCGAAUGUCUUGCUUAAUGCCUACAUUCACUUCUCAUUGGACAAGCAAUGGAAUUUGGUUUGUUUUUGGUAUAGAACACUUGCAUUGAUCAUGGAAAAAUAUUUAGUUACCCUUUUGACGGAAUAUUUAUCUACUAGUAUGUAUUAUAUUAUCUAAAAGAAGAAUAAUUCUUUUGAGCAUCCACAGGUUAGUCAACUGACCUUACAUUCACCAUUGCGUCAUUCAUCGUCCCAAUUCAUUCAUGUAAAAAAUGCACUCCUGUACAAAGGUGUACUAAAUCGAUGACACUUAUUUUGGGAUGGAGGGAGUUCCUACCGAAAAUGUUAACACUAUAUGUACCUCACAUUAGAAACAUAUUACAGAGCUAAAUCGUUGUCAUUUAUUGCCCGUGUAUACCAAGCAUUGCAGGUGAGAUCAAUGCUUCUCUAGGAAAUGAAAGAUUUCUGAAGAUUUUUCAUUAUGGGGGAGAAGAAGACAUUGAUCUGGCAGGGUGUGGUAUUCCUAAUCGUGAAUUUGGACCCUAUGCUUCCGGAAAACUGUUCAGGUCUUAGAGAGAAAAGAGAAGUUAAGUCCAACUCUUCUUGUUUCAGAACAGUUAUUUUGAAUUACUGGUUUGAGAAAGAUGUGAGUCAACUACUGUAUCUUUCAUUGCACGGAGAAGCUGCCGACGUGGUUGGUUACGCCAUCAUGGAUGACGUCAACCUGGAGCAUGGAAUCUCAUAAAUUGAUGUUUUCCAUUUCCAUUUCCAUUCCUUGUUUCCUAGGUAAUCUGGAGCAUGGAAAGGGAUCAGUCUAUCUCUGUUACAAUCAAGUUGUGAUCUCAUCACGGCUCUCUGGAGUCUGGAGUGUUUAUUUCCCAUUUUCAGUGUCUGUUUGGCAGUGAAGUGUGUUUGUUGCAAGCUCCAUCUGCGGUAUGGUGAGGGUGUUGGUUUCUUCAACAGGAUGCAUAUAUACCUGAUUUGGGUGUGCUUGAUUGGAUUGGAUUGGUGUGUAAUUGUCAAGCGGGCACUGGAUUGCUUGCUUGGUUUAUAGCUCCAGCUUGGUGUGGUGUUCACAGUUGAUCAAGCUGGUUCUUAAUAAAAUGGUUGUGUGUGCCGGUUGUGCAUCAACCCAGAUUUGUAAACCCUGCGUGGUGUGAUGAACAAUAUAUAAACUGAGCUUACUUUGUAUUCGGUUGAUGGAACAAGAAAUGUUAUUACUAUCAUGAAUGCUUUGUUAAUUAUAUGGAAA